UGGGCUCGUAGCUCAGUUGGUUAGAGCAGCUGACUCAUAAUCAGCGGGUCGCUGGUUCAAGUCCGGCCGAGCCCACCC
rnacentral:tRNA from 1 species